rnacentral:rRNA from 1 species
UACGGAGGGUGCAAGCGCUACCCGGAUUCACUGGGUUUAAAGGGUGCGUAGGUGGGCAAGUAAGUCAGUGGUGAAAUCUCCGGGCUUAACCCGGAAACUGCCAUUGAUACUAUUUGUCUUGAAUACUGUGGAGGUCAGCGGAAUAUGUCAUGUAGCGGUGAAAUGCUUAGAUAUGACAUAGAACACCAAUUGCGAAGGCAGCUGGCUACACAAAUAUUGACACUGAGGCACGAAAGCGUGGGGAUCAAACAGG